AGAGUUUGAUCAUGGCUCAGAACGAACGCUGGCGGCAGGCUUAACACAUGCAAGUCGAAUGCACCGCAAGGUGAGUGGCAGACGGGUGAGUAACGCGUGGGAACGUGCCCUUCAGUUCGGGAUAACCCAGGGAAACUUGGGCUAAUACCGGAUACGUGCGAGAGCAGAAAGAUUUAUCGCUGAAGGAUCGGCCCGCGUCUGAUUAGCUAGUUGGUGGGGUAAUGGCCCACCAAGGCGACGAUCAGUAGCUGGUCUGAGAGGAUGAUCAGCCACAUUGGGACUGAGACACGGCCCAAACUCCUACGGGAGGCAGC
rnacentral:rRNA from 1 species